GAAACAAACCAAGUUAACUAGUAUACUAUAUACUUAACGGAUUUGCUAAUUCACAUCUCAUCUAGAUGACAAUUAGUUACGUCACAUCUGACUCUUAAACUGUGGGAUGAAAAUGCUUUAAGAUUCGCUUUUGUUUUCAUGGGCUCGCGCAGCGUACUUCUUUCGCACGGGCUCUUACAUAGGCACUUGUGGAUUAAAAAAAAAUCUCAUCAAAUAAAAAAGCAUCAUUGGUUUGAAAAAUGAAAAUGGUUAUGUUUUUCUCCUCGUCCCCUAACACUUUCACAUUCCAGGACAUCCAAAACAAUAAGGUGUGCAUCAAGGGCACCUCCUCGCGCGUUCCACCUCAUCGUUUUUACUGUUAUUGGAUUGGGUAGCGCUCUCUCCCCCAGAUACACCCUCCCUGGCGCUAGCACGCGUUCCCCUUUCUCCCUCCUCGCACGCAACCUCCUCGUCUCCAGCGCUCUCGCCUCUGCUCCACCACCCCGUGCCGCCACAUCCCACACGCCGACGUCGGCCUCGCCGCAGAAAACCGCCCGCACCACCGGCGACGGAUCCCUCGUCCCUCGAAGCCGCGAGAAGAGGAGCCCCACCCGGACGACUUCCCCCCGUCCCCCGUGGAUGGUUCUGCUUCCAUUGAGACGCCCAGGCCUGACAGAUCUUGCUCGUCGUCAGCCCAGGGCCGGGUCGGCCGGAGCAGUCGGAGAGGAGUGGCGGAUGUGCGUCCGCUUAGAUGCCGCCGGUCAGAGAAGGCGGGGAUGAGCGGAUUGCAGCGAGGGAGGCGGCUCGGCUCGGACUGUCCAUGGCGCUAGCGCGAUGGCUCGCCUCCUCUUUCGGCAUGGCUAUUGUUUUGGUCCGCGCCGUUUCUGCCUCGACGGACAUUGUCGUAGUAGGUGCCGAUGAGGGACGAGCCGCUAGCGACGGAUCCCGCGAGGCCAACCUCCAGCGCCCCUUCUCCGGCCGGCCUCGAACGACCUUGUCCCGCCGGAGCUAGGUGGGUCGAUGACCCGCUGGAUGGGAGCCGGCAUGUCCAGCUACCACCUCUGGUGCCCCGUCGCGCACCUGCCCGCCGCCAGGGGCCCGAGGGCCAAGUUGCGGGGUUGUGCGGUCGCGCUGCUCAUCCCCCGUCCGCUCGAGGAAGCAUCUCGCCGGGGUUGGGGUCAAUCUCGGGCAGUCCUGAGGAGGAGAGCGGGCGGCCUCCAUCAGUCCUCUCCGGUGAGGCCUUUGACAAGAGGGGCCAAGAUGCUACCAAGUGCCAUUUGCUUCAGUGCAUUUUGUUUGAUGAAUCUGUUCAUGAAGGAAUCUGCGGUCCUAACAAAGAAGAUGGAAAGAGUACUCCUGGAAAGUGAAAAAGAGAAGGAAACAACAAUCUUGCAAAAGAUUAAACAAAGAACAGUUUGCUCACAAAAUUUUCCAUGAGUGAGAUUGCUUCUCUUCACACAUAUAAUCUGACUCGUGGAAAGUUUUGUGAGCAAGCUGUUAAUAUUUACAUAGUACAUAUAUUAGUUACGUCUUGUGACCAUGAGGUCAUGGGUUCAAGUCCUGGAAACAGCCUCUUACAGAAAUGUAGGGAAAGGCUGCGUACUAUAGACCCAAAGUGGUCGGACCCUUCCCUGGACCCUGCGCAAGCGGGAGCUACAUGCACCAGGUUGCCCCUUUUUUUUAACGAUAUAUGUGUGAAGAGAAGCAUUGCCGCUCAUGGAAAGAGUACUUCUGUUAUGCUGCUACAUGUUUACAUGCAUAUAUUAGUUUCUUGGGUCAUGCACAUUUAUUAGAAAAAAUUAUCUCCUUCCGGCUAUUAAGCUUGGAAUAACAUCAAAAGAUAGUUAAAAUGCAGAAGAUUUCCUUAUUAUUCAUGGCACAUUGGGUUCAGAUAAUAUUUGCUUUGUUUUACUCGCUCCAAAUUUAAUUAUCACAAUUCCUUAUUAAGCUAAAUAGCUAAUUAUGUCGAUCUGAUCUGAUCUGAUUCAUUUAUCCAAGUAAAGAGUGCAUGCUCAUGUUUCCACUCAUCAAGGUAAAGAAUAAGUUCCGUAGACACACUGAAAUCAAUUUUAGAGGCUGUAAGUAGGCAGAAGAUCCACUCAUGUUCUGAUCUAUCAUGAUUGUGGUUGAAAGUUGUGUUCAACUGAAAUUAUGCAUCAAAUCCCCUCACACAAUUGUUUUCUGCAUGUUAUGUGUUUGAUGAGAUUCCUCCAAGCCAGCUGUUCAGUGAGCCCCCCUAAUUCAGUUGUUUCGGUUGGUUAGAAAUUGCCUGUGAUUCACUUAUCGAUCAAUUAAUUAGAUUGAUUUUUUAGUAUGUUCAUUCGGCUUAUUCAAAUAAUCACAUUCACAGGUUUAGUUUGGUUUGGUUACCCAUAUAUACUCCGUAUUUCUUUUAGUCCUGUUCGUGUUGAGAAUUUCUGAAAUCAAAUGUACAAUUCGCGUAGUUAAAAGGUAUCAAAGUGAUGUUUGUAUGCAUAGUUCCUGCCUAGCUAGAAAAAUGUGACUGCAAAUUUUGUCAAUCAUUUAUAGUUCCUGCCUGUUUUCCGAACUUUUUCUAGGAGGGAAUAACAGUAGGACAUGCAUGUGUUAUUUUCCAAGACUUGUUCGAGAUAAAGACCCAAUGAGUCAUCGGAUACUUCCCCUGUCUCUGCAGCAGCAAAUGAUUGUUCAGAGUGAGAGUUUGUCUGAAAAUUGUUCAGAAUGAGGCUCUAGCAUGCUGCACACGGUGUAGACCAAAGUUCCCUCGGAGCAAGAGCAAAUUUAACAAGGCAAUACAACAAAACGUGGAGCAGCUAAUGGACAUCCAAUCAGCUCUCAAGGCAUUCGAGGAGGUACUGCUCUUUGAUUGAACAACAUGAUCACUUUUUUUAUUGAGGGAAGCAUGCUCACAUGGAGGCGCCCAGAAGUUGUGUGUGGGCAUGUAUGACGUUGGCAUAGUCAUAUGCUGAUUUUCUGAGAUAUCAUCGUAUCCUUGACUUUCAACAUCAGUUGUAAAUAAGUCGAGAAGCUGUAUCUAUAGCACCGGUGUUAUUUAUCCCUUGCAUCAAAAUGUAGAAUUUUCUCACUAGAUUUGCACAACAUAGAUAUACUGUAUAUAUUUUCUCAAGUAUUUGCUAUGACCAGAUCUUAAGAAAUGGUGUGCAUAUUAAGGCCUAAAACUUUUAUUUGCAUUUACUUCCUUGGUUACUGCAAUAGAUCACCUGAACUGACAAAAUAGUGGGUUAGCAUGCUUUGAAAAGAACAACACUUGAGCAUAUGUAGCCAUGUAGGUCAACGAAGUUGCUUUCUUGAUACUUUUAGAUAUGUGCUACCACAUGCAUGCUGGAUUUGUGCUCUAUCCAGAUUGAGUGCCUGACAUAUUUUGUUUUCCACUUCGAGCUUCUGUUACAAUGAGGAACAAUGGAUAUAUCGAAUAAAAAAUGUAACCAGCUUUCCCCGGGUGAAGAAUCCUCUACUAAUAACGAGCCUCAGGUACAUCCUACUCAGGGGGCAGAUGACAUAGGAGAGAUCUACAACCAGUUUUCCUCAGGUUCUUCUGCUGACAACAAGCCUGCACAACAACAUGCUCGUGCAGACCGCAACCAUAGAGAUAUACCGCGACACAUACCAGGAGAGUUGUGCUUCAUGUAGCUAUUACAGCAGGAUAAUUGUAUGCUUGAAGAAGAGGUUAUACCAACCGAGGCCAAGUGCACUGAACUUACCCAUGCCUCGUUUGGGGCUCAAAUGUGGAGACCUCUCCUCUAGGGGACAACAUCACAAUGUAUUUUCAUAGAAUACUUAUGCUUGGCAAGAAAGGCGGUAGCUGACGAAAGGAGGACACCACCAAGAUGAGUGAGACCGCGCCAACAGACUCAGGAUGGAAAGCAGCGAGCAGCGGCGCAUAAUCCACAGAAGCAGCCAGCAUGGGGCUAAGCCCGCCGUUCCUCCGCGUCGAUGAACAAAAGGACCUAAGAUAGCUGAGGUGCGCUCCUGCAAGAGAUGAGGGAGCAACUGGUGGUCCGGAUAGCGAAGAUCAGGUCAACGUCGGCUGCUUUGUUGUGCCAUUGCCACACUUUGGCUGGAAAAUGCUCGGACGGCCAUGGCGCCGGCGCCACUUCUUCAUCUUCUCUGGAGCCACACCAUUUCUGCGGGAUAAGCGAGUUGGAGGAAGAUGGGAGAGAUGAGUCGGUUACUCACUGAUAGAAAAUCAUUUUGGCAGAACCUCCUUUUCACGAGAGAUGAUUGAUUGUUCCUCCGCCUUCACUUUUGUGCCCAAAGCCCCGUGUGUUGCUUGUGAACCACUGUUGUUUAGGUCGUCGGUCAUGUAAACUAUAAGGACAUAUUAAUAUAAUAUGACUCCUAAGCCACUUCCUUUUAACACU